rnacentral:rRNA from 1 species
UACCAGCUCUCCGAGUGGUAGGGAUGAUUAUUGGGCUUAAAGCGUCCGUAGCCGGCUUAGCAAGUUUCCUGUUAAACCCAGCGACUCAAUCGUUGGAUCGCGGGAAAUACUACUAGGCUAGGAGGCUGGAGAGGUCAACGGUACUUCUGGGGUAGGGGUGAAAUCCUAUAAUCCCGGGAGGACCACCAGUGGCGAAGGCUGUUGACUAGAACGCGCUCGACGGUGAGGGACGAAAGCUGGGGUAGCAAACCGGAUUAGAUACCCGGGUAGUCCCAGCUGUAAACGAUGCGAGCUAGGUGUUGGGAUGGCUACGGGCCAUUUCAGUGCCGCAGGGAAGCCAUUAAGCUCGCCGCCUGGGGAGUACGGCCGCAAGGCUGAAACUUAAAGGAACUGGCGGGGAGCACCACAAGGCGUGAAGCUUGCGGUUC